rnacentral:rRNA from 1 species
AGUGAACGCUGGCGGUAGGCCUAACACAUGCAAGUCGAACGGCAGCACAGUAAGAGCUUGCUCUUACGGGUGGCGAGUGGCGGACGGGUGAGGAAUACAUCGGAAUCUACUUUUUCGUGGGGGAUAACGUAGGGAAACUUACGCUAAUACCGCAUACGACCUACGGGUGAAAGCAGGGGAUCUUCGGACCUUGCGCGAUUGAAUGAGCCGAUGUCGGAUUAGCUAGUUGGCGGGGUAAAGGCCCACCAAGGCGACGAUCCGUAGCUGGUCUGAGAGGAUGAUCAGCCACACUGGAACUGAGACACGGUCCAGACUCCUACGGGAGGCAGCAGUGGGGAAUAUUAGACAAUGGGCGCAAGCCUGACCCAGCCAUACCGCGUGGGUGAAGAAGGCCUUCGGGUUGUAAAGCCCUUCUGUUGGGAAAGAAAAGCAGCAGGUUAAUACGCCGCUGUUCUGACGGUACCCAAAGAAUAAGCACCGGCUAACUUCGUG